UUGGAUCCAGACUUUGAUCCUGGCUCAGGAUGAACGCUAGCUACAGGCUUAACACAUGCAAGUCGAGGGGAAACGACAUUGAAAGCUUGCUUUCGAUGGGCGUCGACCGGCGCACGGGUGAGUAACGCGUAUCCAACCUGCCCAUCACUUGGGGAUAACCUUGCGAAAGUAAGACUAAUACCCAAUGACGUCUCUAGAAGACAUCUGAAAGAGAUUAAAGAUUUAUCGGUGAUGGAUGGGGAUGCGUCUGAUUAGCUUGUUGGCGGGGUAACGGCCCACCAAGGCUACGAUCAGUAGGGGUUCUGAGAGGAAGGUCCCCCACAUUGGAACUGAGACACGGUCCAAACUCCUAUGGGAGGCAGCAGUGAGGAAUAUUGGUCAAUGGGCGAGAGCCUGAACCAGCCAAGUAGCGUGCAGGAUGACGGCCCUAUGGGUUGUAAACUGCUUUUAUAAGGGAAUAAAGUGAGUCUCGUGAGACUUUUUGCAUGUACCUUAUGAAUAAGGACCGGCUAAUUCCGUGCCAGCAGCCGCGGUAAUACGGAAGGUCCGGGCGUUAUCCGGAUUUAUUGGGUUUAAAGGGAGCGUAGGCCGGAGAUUAAGCGUGUUGUGAAAUGUAGACGCUCAACGUCUGCACUGCAGCGCGAACUGGUUUCCUCGAGUACGCACAAAGUGGGCGGAAUUCGUGGUGUAGCGGUGAAAUGCUUAGAUAUCACGAAGAACUCCGAUUGCGAAGGCAGCUCACUGGAGCGCAACUGACGCUGAAGCUCGAAAGUGCGGGUACCGAACAGGAUUAGAUACCCUGGUAGUCCGCACGGUAAACGAUGGAUGCCCGCUGUUGGUCUGAAUAGGUCAGCGGCCAAGCGAAAGCAUUAAGCAUCCCACCUGGGGAGUACGCCGGCAACGGUGCAACUC
rnacentral:rRNA from 1 species